rnacentral:rRNA from 14 species
AAGAGUUUGAUCAUGGCUCAGAUUGAACGCUGGCGGCAGGCCUAACACAUGCAAGUCGAACGGUAACAUUUCUAGCUUGCUAGAAGAUGACGAGUGGCGGACGGGUGAGUAAUGCUUGGGAACUUGCCUUUGCGAGGGGGAUAACAGUUGGAAACGACUGCUAAUACCGCAUAAUGUCUACGGACCAAACGGGGCUUCGGCUCCGGCGCAAAGAGAGGCCCAAGUGAGAUUAGCUAGUUGGUAAGGUAACGGCUUACCAAGGCGACGAUCUCUAGCUGUUCUGAGAGGAAGAUCAGCCACACUGGGACUGAGACACGGCCCAGACUCCUACGGGAGGCAGCAGUGGGGAAUAUU